rnacentral:rRNA from 1 species
UUUUGUUGGAGAGUUUGAUCCUGGCUCAGGACGAACGCUGGCGGCGUGCUUAACACAUGCAAGUCGAGCGGAA